rnacentral:misc_RNA from 1 species
UAUCGGGUCUCACACUGUUUCUGGUUCAGCGUUUUUGAACCCUCCCCUCCCGCUUUUCACCAUGGCCACGUACAAACGCGAGGAUCUGCGGCGUGCAAGCUUUACCAACCUAGACGAGCACUGUGAUGAGGGCAUCAUGUACGAGCUGUGUCUGCAGUUCGGGCGCAUCCAGAAUAUUAGCUGGCCGACCGAGGUGAACAUUAACGGGAUGCCGCAGCGCGCCUCGCGCUGCUACGUCGACUUCGAGAACGCCGAGGACGCCAAGUACUGCUUCGAGGCUCUCUACCGAGCGCGCGUGAAGCUGUUCAAUAAGGAGCUGCGCGUCUUUCACGCCAGUAACGAGGUGGCGCAGGGUGGUGCAGCGGGCACACAGAGGAGCGGGGCGGCGGUGAUUGGCUUGCACGAGGUGGGUGCCAAGGUGGUGGUACGCAACGUCGAUUACCGCGUCACGGAGUUCGACGUGACGCGGUUCUUCGAAAGCUUCGGCCAGUUCGCUGCCCCGCCCCGCAUGCUGCGCGACUCCGUCGGCAACUUUCGCGGCGUUGUCAUUCUUUCGUACAAGACGUUUGAAGCAAGCGACCGCGUCAUUCGAGACAUGGACCAGAAGGUGUUCCGUGAUCGCGUCAUUUCUGUGCACUACGCACAGAUGGAGGACGGCAGCGGGCGGCUGCACGGCACGAAGGAGGAGCGCGCGAACGCCGCCCUCAUUCGCGAGGAGGAGAGGCGCUACCGUGAGAUGGUGGCGAAGGAGAUGGCGGAGGUGCGACAGGAGCGGCAGCAAAGCCGUGUGCAGGACGCGUCAUGGGCGGAGAAGGUGAAUGUGUACAGCCGCCCGCGUCGCUGAGAGCAGGAGAGAACGCCAUUUUUGACGUAUGCCUGCGCGUCUGUGCGUGUUUAGGCGCUGCACCUGUGACUAGCGCACACAGGGGAGGGGUCUCGGGAGGGCUGCGGCGUGCCUUCGCCUUGCCCGUCGCCCGCGCCUUCCCUUCGACCUCUCCGGCUACUAUCCAACUCCCUAGCAAGAAGGCGCUUACAUC